GAUGAACGCUGGCGGCGUGCCUAAUACACGCAAGUCGAGCGAAUGGAUUAAGAGCUUGCUCUUAUGAAGUUAGCGGCGGACGGGUGAGUAACACGUGGGUAACCUGCCCAUAAGACUGGGAUAACUCCGGGAAACCGGGGCUAAUACCGGAUAACAUUUUGAACCGCAUGGUUCGAAAUUGAAAGGCGGCUUCGGCUGUCACUUAUGGAUGGACCCGCGUCGCAUUAGCUAGUUGGUGAGGUAACGGCUCACCAAGGCAACGAUGCGUAGCCGACCUGAGAGGGUGAACGGCCACACUGGGACUGAGACACGGCCCAGACUCCUGCGGGAGGCAGCAGUAGGGAAUCUUCCGCAAUGGACGAAAGUCUGACGGAGCAACGCCGCGUGAGUGAUGAAGGCUUUCGGGUCGUAAAACUCUGUUGUUAGGGAAGAACAAGUGCUAGUUGAAUAAGCUGGCACCUUGACGGUACCUAACCAGAAAGCCACGGCUAACUACGUGCCAGCAGCCGCAGUAA
rnacentral:rRNA from 1 species